GGGUGCGAUCAUACCAGCACUAAUGCACCGGAUCCCAUCAGAACUCCGCAGUUAAGCGUGCUUGGGCGAGAGUAGUACUAGGAUGGGUGACCUCCUGGGAAGUCCUCGUGUUGCACCUC
rfam:Beta vulgaris subsp. vulgaris contig122880.1, whole genome shotgun sequence.